GACGUAGGGGGCCAGCGUUGUUCGGAAUUACUGGGUGUAAAGGGUUCGUAGGCGGUGCGGCAAGUCGGGAGUGAAAUCUCUGGGCUUAACCCAGAGGCUGCUUCCGAAACUGCUGUGCUUGAGGACUGGAGAGGAGACUGGAAUUUACGGUGUAGCGGUGAAAUGCGUAGAUAUCGUAAGGAAGACCAGUGGCGAAGGCGGGUCUCUGGACAGUUCCUGACGCUGAGGCACGAAGGUCAGGGGAGCAAACGGG
rnacentral:rRNA from 1 species